UUAGCCGCUCUGAGCCCGGCUUUGGCCGGGGAGGGCGGGAUACAAAUAAAAAAUUCUUAUUCUUAUUCUUAUUCUUAUUAUGGCAUAAAUUUUCAUGGACUAUGACUGUCUUUAAGAUAAGUCCACACAUCACAUGAAAGUUCUCAGCUUUCACCCAUUCCAAAGACUAACCCAGUCUUUAAGGGGAGGGGUGCUUUUCAGCCCUCUUUCCAAAAGUUACCAGAAGGUCUGGACCAAUACUGUGUGGCACAGUAGUACUGUAAACAUAAUAAUUAUAUGAUCAGCAUUUUUGUUCAGGGUCAACACUGACAACAAAAGUUGUAUCUCUUGGCCAAGGAGCUUUUAGAGAGCGACUAUUUUAUACAUAUGCAUUGCCAUAUGAUUCUUUGUGCUGGCAAAUGGAUGUUAGUUCAAAAGUCAUGCCUCUUUAGAAACAUGUUUUAUUGGUAAAAUAUAACUGAUUAAACAUUUUGGUAGGCUAAUUAACUCAGGGUUAUAUUUAUGUGCUAAUGUGAUUGCUUCCUUUAUAAUUUUGCAUGUAAACCUGUACCCAGUUGACUCCUAAGCGCAGUGUUCAUGUUAUCUAGCCUGCCAUUUCACCUCUUUAUAGCAGUAUCUCUGGUCAUAACAGAAAAGGCAUUGCAGGAAGCUCUGCAGAUCUUGACUGACUGCAUUUGAGGAAAAACACUUCAGCCAAGUUUACCUUUUGUAAGUACAAUUCACUAGGCUUGACCUGUUUCACACAUACAAUCCUCUCUAGCUGUUUCUGUGCUUUUCCAUGAUUUGGACCUACAUGCAGCGCAGUUGUUAUUCCAGUAGAAUUGUCAAAGAAUGGCAAUAAUUCACACCAAAUUGUAAUACAGUGGACCCUCUAGUUACAUACCGCUCUGGAUACGUACCUUUCGGGUUAUGAACACAGCAAACCUGCCUACGGACUUUUUGGGUUGCGGAUGGAUCUCCGGAAUGAAUUUAAUUCAUAUCCGUGGAGGGUCCACUGUCCACCUUUCUUGCAAGGUCGAGAAAAGUAUAAUUCUGGAAACUGAAUAACACAUGAUUCACUGAUUUGGAAUGAUCACUCCCAAUGUGGUGUAAAUGAAUUAGCAGUUUAGCACAUAAUGGACCUGAUCAUCUUUCCCAGUCAGGAAAGUUUCCAUGUUGACAAAUUGUUCAGAUUUUUCAAACUGUGUGUGGGGAAAAACAUGUAAAGUUUGUUCAUCAUUCUGUGUGCUGGCUAAGACAGAGUCUGAAUGAGAACAAUCCACUCAUCCUUAGAAUUCUGAAAACUGAGGAGCAUUGCUGGAGCUUUGAAUAAAAAUAUUGUAUAAUCAUUGAGAGAGGAUCCUAUCUGUGUAAUAUGCAGCCUUAGAGAAUUUUUCAGUACCAUGUACUACUUUACUGUAUUUUGUCAUAAUAUGUUAAAACACAGCUAGUUGCUAACUGUUAUGGACCACGCUUGCAUUUUCACAACUGGAAAAUAUUUCAGCAUAUGCAUUAAGUUGAAAUGAAUCUUCCAAAUUGGUUCAGACAAUUAGCUGGAAUAAGGACCAACAGCCUCUAACUGAGACAUAGUAGUUGCUAUAUCAUAUCAGGUUUCUGGCUCAGCAAAUAAUGAAUUCUGUCUACAAUAUAAAGGCCAGAACCAGAUGUUUCAGUGAAAGAAGCUGGAUCCCUGCAGUUUUUAACUGUGUAGUAUGCAAACCAUUCCAUGUAAGCAUAACACUUCUCUUUUGUAUCAUGAUACCAAACUGGAAAAGCUCCCUCUUACUUUUAUAGGCUUUGGAUCAAGCAAUUAGAAGUUGUGUCUUAUAGAACCAGAAUCAUGCCCAUAAUUAACUAUUGUUUACAUGAUGAUUGCAUGAGCAACAAAUUACCAUUUUGUUUUUAUUUAUUUAUUUAUUUUGAGAUUAUGGUUUAAUGCCAGUGAUCAAACAGAUUUCCUUGCAGAGAGAGAAAAUAAUCUCAAAGUUGCCUUGAUAAAUUAAACUUCAGGAAAUGAAUAACCUUUGUAGCUGUAGCUCAUUUAUCUCUGUUUCACUUGUGCUUUAGUAUGCAUGUUCUGCCUUCUGAGUCAAGAGAGCUAGUUAUUAUAGCAAAAAGCAGCUAUACAAAUCUGCCAUGUUCCUAUUUUCUUUUAAGGAAUAGUUUUAAUGAAUGAAUAAUAAAAGCUUUCUGGACUUUACAUUCACUAAGAUUUUUCCUCUUGAUGCCAAGUCAUAUGACUUUUUAUCCUUUUUCCCCACAUGGUCCGUCGUCUAAUUAAAAGAUAGCCAUUGAAGCUUUUCAUCGUAGGGUAGUUGGUUCCAUUAUUAAGUGUACUCUGUGUACACAUAGCAGUCUUUCUUUCUUUCUUUCUUUCUUUCUUUCUUUCUUUCUUUCUUUCUUUUAUUGCCAUUUAUAUAUUAAAAAAAUAUCCAACACUAUCUUAAGAGUACUGAAGUUGUAAAUCUGUGGCAGGCAUGACCCUUGUAGGAUUUCUCCUAUAUUUUCCACAGUAUUUCCAAUCAGAGUGUUUAUGCUACAGUUCAGUGCUGUGAUCAUGUCAGAGGUUUCGAUUAUUUUGUGACAAGCUUCAGUGGUGAAAGAAGAGUUAUUUGAAAGACAGCUUCUUUUUGUGCAUCUAGUAGUCAUGACUCAUUAUAAAGUCACAUGGUGUGUGGUGAAUGAAAACAGAAAAGAAAGGGGUGAAAGUAUUUGUUUGUCUAGACUCCAGUUCAGAUACCAUGUCAAAUCAUAAAUGCAAACAAGCUUCAUGUGCUCUCAUGAUAGAACCAUAGUGAAUAUUUUUUUAAGUCUAGUAUCAGAUUUGAAAUAAUUGAUAAACUCUAGCCUCCUUUAGACCUUCAAAAAGAAUGUGUGAGGGGAAGACAAUAGAAAGGAACGUGCCCUGGGCACUCUCCCUGCACUCCAACCUUCUUGCAUUGAGUGGAUGAGGAACUGGAAAUUUUGCCAGCCUUAAGCUUGUUUUACAAUUUGUUUAAUAAAAAUACAAUUAUUGUGCUAUGUGUGUGACAUAAGCUGGUGAUAUCCAGCGUUAGAAAUACUCUGAGUAAACCCUUUGAAAUCUGGGUGUCAGUCAGACAGUGUCUUUGUUAUCUGAAAAUAAUCAAUUGUUUUUAAUAUCUUUCUCUAAAAUAGUAAAAAUCUGCAAAUAUUUAAGAAACUUAUACUCUAUCCUUAAUCAAUCAAUAUGCUUUUUUGGGUUGUAGCAUAAUAAACAUUAUCUAACAAACAUUAGUUAAAAGCCAACUAAAUAAGAAAUAAAAAAAUUACAGUGGUACCUCUGGUUACAUACUUAAUUUGUUCCGGAGGUCCAUUCUUAACCUGAAACUGUUCUUAACCUGAAGCACCACUUUAGCUAAUGGGGGCCUCCCGCUGCCGCCACACAAUUUCUGUUCUCAUCCUGAAGCAAAGUUCUUAACCAGACGUAUUAUUUCUGGGUUAGCGGAGUCUGUAACCGGAAGCGUAUGUAACCUGAAGCGUAUGUAACCCGAGGUACCACUGUA
rnacentral:lncRNA from 1 species